GAUGAAGAACGCAGCGAAGUGCGAUAAGUAAUGUGAAUUGCAGAAUUCCGUGAAUCAUCGAAUCUUUGAACGCAAAUUGCACUUUCUGGUAUUCCGGAGAGUAUGCCUGUUUGAGGGUCAGUGUAAUAAAAAUAAAUCGUGGUUGUUACCACUUUUCGUGGUGACGCUUCGGAAUUGAGUCGUCUUACCUUCGGUUAAGUGACUUAAAAUUUUUUCAUACGAUUUCGAAACGUAUUUAAUGUAUUAUGUAUGUUCACGAAUAUCGAAUGUUUAUUAGGUGCGGUCAUUUUCAUGAAUUCGCGUCUAUAAUUUUUUUUUUUUGACCUCAAAUCAGGUAAGAAUACCCGCUGAACUUAAGCAUAUCAAUAAGCGGAGGA
rnacentral:misc_RNA from 1 species